GGGACUACCGGUCAGGCUGCGGCGGUAAUACGGAAGGGGCGAGCGUUGGUGGGAAUUACGGGGCGUAAAGCGCGCGGUGGCGGCUUGACAAGGGAGGCGUGAAAGGCCUGGGCUCAACCCGGGGACUGCGCUUCAGACUGUUGGGCUAGAGUCCGGAAGAGGGUGGUGGAAUUCCGAGUGUAGAGGUGAAAUUCGUAGAUAUUCGGAGGAACACCGGUGGCGAAGGCGGCCGCCUGGUCCGGUACUGACGCUCAAGUGCGAAAGCGUGGGGAGCAAACAGGAUUAGAUACCCCUGUAGUC
rnacentral:rRNA from 1 species